rnacentral:rRNA from 1 species
UACAGAGGAGCCAAGCGUUGUCCGGAUUGACUGGGCGUAAAGCGCACGCAGGCGGAUGCGCGCGUGGGGUGGGAAAUCUGGCCGCUUAACGGCCAGGCGCCAUCCCAUACGGCGCGUCUGGAGUGAUGCAGAGGUCGGUGGAAUUGCCGGUGUAGUGGUGAAAUGCGUAGAGAUCGGCAGGAACACCCAGGGGGAAACCAGCCGACUGGGCAUCUACUGACGCUGAGGUGCGAGAGCGUGAGGAGCGAACCGG